rnacentral:rRNA from 1 species
AUUGAACGCUGGCGGCAGGCCUAACACAUGCAAGUCGAGCGGAUGAGAGGAGCUUGCUCUUUGAUUCAGCGGCGGACGGGUGAGUAAUGCCUAGGAAUCUGCCUGGUAGUGGGGGACAACGUGUCGAAGGGAACGCUAAUACCGCAUACGUCAUACGGGAGAAAGUGGGGGAUCUUCGGACCUCACGCUAUCAGAUGAGGCUAGGUCGGAUUAGCUAGUUGGUGAGGUAAUGGCUCACCAAGGCGACGAUCCGUAACUGGUCUGAGAGGAUGAUCAGUCACACUGGAACUGAGACACGGUCCAGACUCCUACGGGAGGCAGCAGUGGGGAAUAUUGGACAAUGGGCGCAAGCCUGAUCCAGCCAUGCCGCGUGUGUGAAGAAGGUCUUCGGAUUGUAAAGCACUUUAAGUUGGGAGGAAGGUCAGUAGCUUAAUACGUUGCUGAUUUGACGUUACCGACAGAAUAAGCACCGGCUAACUCUGUGCCAGCCGCCGCCGUAAUAC